UGAGGAAUAUUGGGCAAUGCCCGCAAGGGUGACCCAGCAACGCCGCGUGGAGGAUGAAUGUCGUAAGAUUGUAAACUCCUGUUAGAGGGGAAGAAUAGUACCGGUUGGACCGGUAUAUGACUGUACCCUCAGAGAAAGCCCCGGCUAACUACGUGCCAGCAGCCGCGGUAAUACGUAGGGGGCAAGCGUUGUCCGGAUUUACUGGGUGUAAAGGGCGCGCAGGCGGGAUAAAAAGUCAGUGGUGAAAUCCUACAGCUUAACUGUAGAAAUGCCUGUGAUACUUUUAUUCUUGAGUUCGGGAGAGAGAGACGGAAUUCCAGGUGUCGUGGUGAAAUACGUAGAUAUCUGGAAGAAAACCAGUGGCGAAGGCGGUCUCUUGGUCCGACACUGACGCUGAGGCGCGAAAGCGUGGGGAGCAAACA
rnacentral:rRNA from 1 species